ensembl:lncRNA
UUCCUGGAGGAGACCAAGCUGUCCCACCAGGAUGGUACAGAGGCAACAAACAGUACUAACUGAAGAACUCAGCAAGGGAAAAAACCCUAAAUCAGUCAAGAAAGAAAGGCCCCCCAAGAAGACCCCAAAUACCAAAAGAAACCGUGUUAGGGAAACACAGCCUCCUGUUGCCUGCAACAGCUGUGAAGGAGAAAAACGUGGAUCUCUGCUAUGGAAAUACCAUGGCAAAUCCAGUUGGAAUAGGAAGACAAAAGUAAUUGUAGAAGAAAAACAAGGGCUAUAUUUACUUUAAUUUUCAUCUGUUUGGCCUGUUUCUAGCCCUCUGCCAUGUCUCUUGCUGUUUGUUGAAAGCCUCCAUGGAACAAAACUUCAGCCCAGGCCCCCACUUGACACAAGACACUGCAGAAGUUUCUCCUUCCUUCAGCAACGAAGCAAACGCCAGCAGAGAAGAAGGUUCUUUCACCACAGAGGCAGCAAUGCCCUUAAGUGAACCAGCAUCUACACAUGCAAAGCCUUCACCCCAAGUGGGGAAGACCUUUUAACUUGACUCUGCCAGACAUCAAGGGGAUUAAGGGUACCAUUUAACUCGGCCCAACUUCUCAGUUAACAGUAUCCUUGCAUGCACCUCCACUGCUCUUUUGCAGCACUGGGCAAGCUCACUUGAGCCAACUCUUGAGGCUUUUAUCUUUAAAGGAAGCACAGAUAGAAAGUUCAAUAAGCCAUGGAGAUGCAACCCGAAGCAUAACAUAACUGGUUCCAGCCACGCAAAGGAAUGGGAACAGCCAGCACCCUGCAAGCUCCGGGGCUGUCACUGAGAGAUCAUAGGCACUGUUGGCCCUGUUGACCUCAACCAGCUACAGCUUUUGAAACCACACAAGGUAUUUUAAGCCGAACUCCCGGAUCUGAAGACAAGAUUUGAGUCUGUUCAGAGCUGUUCUGCUGGCAUCCAACCACAGAACCAAAAUCCUCAUUCAACCCCAAUGAGAUUUUCCUUCCCGGGCACCUCUGAGAUCCUUCAGAACUGAAAAUGCUGGUUUGCCUUUCAUGAACCCAAGUUCCAAUGUUUGCCACCAACGGAGGAAAAAGCCAGCAUUUACCACACAAGGUUUUUUCCUAUACUAAUGGCAGGAAAUACCACAAAUACCAGGAUGAAAUAAAAAUCCACAGCCCCUCCAGAUGCCACAUGAAUUAGCAAGGGCUGGGAGAGCUGGAACAUGAUGAGAAAUCUUACUCCUCUGUCAUCUGGCUCGAGGACAAGGAGGAGAGGUCUCUGAAGAAAGUCAGCUCCCAGGGGGCUCACAACUGAGAAGCGUUUCAGCUGCCCAACUGUAAGUGCCUCACUCUCCCCCUCUCAGACCCAGAUGACUUCAUUUUCUUCUGUUGCUACUCCCACUCCCACAUACUCCUGAGAAAAGGACAUCGGUCAUGACAUCAAAGUACAAGAAUCCAUCAAACUGCACUUCUGUAUCUCAUCUUCCCAAGGCUGCACUUGCUCUAUGGUCCCGCUGGCAAGAAGCCACCACAGAAAACAGAUUUACCCUGCUGGGAGCAGCCAGGUCCAAAUCAACAUCAAGCUGAAAUUACUGCAUGGAGCACUAAAAACCUUUGGUUUUGGCUUCUUAUGCAUGCAACUUUUGACUGCAAGCUCUGUCUGAACACGAUCAGCAUUAUUGGUACAACCUGCUCAGGAAAUCUCUAAAAAAGAUUGAGCCACUGCUGUAUGAUGAGGGAAGAUGUCUUGAUUUAAGAACACAGGCAUUACUAGAAAGGGAAAAAAUAAAAGGGUCCCUUACUGUUCUGACAUAUCAAAAGCAGACUAAUGAACCACCAGUUCAUAGAAUGACCCUGCUCAUCAUUUCAGAGCCAGGCUGGCCUUUUGUGUUAAGGACACUGAAUAACAAGAGCAAGAACAAACAGAAAGAAUCCUUUCCCCAUGCCCAAAGUAAAUUUUGAAAUGAAAUCAUUUAAAACUACACCCGGCUGCCCUACUUUAAGGUCCACUUAAGAACAGAUGAAAAGUUUUGUUCUAUUGGCAAAACUGAAUCAAGGCUUUUGAUCCUCAAAGAUCUCUUAAUCGCUUUGCACAUCAGUUCUUUUCAUUAUUUCAAACACACUUGAAGACAGCUCCCUUUUUCUCUCUCUCCCUUUUUUUCCCCCCAAAAAAAAACUUCUCUGUGUUUGGGCCAUUUUCCAGCCAACUGUGCCACUACAGCAGAAAGCUGUUGGUUCUUUACUCACUCCAAGUUGCAACAUAUACGCAUUGUGAUUUGCCUUAGGGAAGUCUCAAAAAGCCCGGCCCUUGCAACUAACUGUGCUAGCUCACAGCAUCCACCUCUUCAUCCUUCUAAUGCUUCACAAGAGUUCCAAGGAAGAUUAUAAGCCUCUGGUUAAAAAAAAUGAAAGUAGUUGUUGGUGGCAUUGUUAUUGUGUUGCAUUUGGUUUUGUUUCUUUUUCUUUUUUAAAGCUUGACUCAGAAUUGCAAUCUUGGCCACAUAAACUCAACUUAAUUCAAGGGUUCUUCAAAAUUUCACGUCUCUGCAAUUCCAUUAAGUCAAAUACUACACCAAAUCAGCAGUGCUGCACAAAAAACUUCUGUCAGAAGUGGUAAUAACCCUGGCCACCUUAGCACUCUAGUAAAUGGGAGGAGUGCUUAACCAGACUAAGAUAGAGCUUACCAACAAAUAUGUACAGUACCCUUCAGUUUUUUACUUAAUUCUUGCUCCUGGCUUUUAGCUCGCUAACUGAAAGGGCAGAGACUUUCUGAAACAAAGAUCAGCUGCUUGUUUGUGGUCUGUGAAUGAACUUGCCACAAGUGGACUGCUUACAAUUGUAAUAAAGACUAUAGACAGGAGAGGCAGGAGGUGGAGUCAGUUAGCUGGCUGACAAACUCAUAGGGGGGAUGGAUAACAUCAAAAACAAACUCCACCUGGAAAGCUGCAUGUAGGCAGUACAGCAGAGCAACAGUUUAAUGCGUUCAGUGCCGUAGGCAUUGUUUAGCAAGUGGGUGGAUGCUUUGUGAGCCAGCUUCAUCUACCCAAAUGGUGUCAAAGCCAUUGUAAACUGCCUUGUUAAAUGCUGGUCACAAAGCAAUACUGAGCCGAGGAGGGCCAGCAACAGAAGGCUCCUGGCUGCAUCAACACAGAACAGGCGUAUGCUCUGUCAUGAUAAAGGAUGCAGAUAAUAACUGUAUGCUGCUCCACAUGAACCUCUCAUUCAGGCCAGUCAAUACUGCCAGCCUGAGACCCACCAGCAGUUUCAGAGGAGACCGCCUUCAUGUGAUCUGGGUUACCAGAGACCCCUCCGUGUCCCCUUGUCAUUAACACAAGGAAAGAAUAUUCUUCUGUGAGAUCUGAUUUGAACUUACGCCCUCUGCAUGUAGCAAUCAAACAGUUCAGCCUCUCUAAGCCUCCUUUUUCCUUGCCUACUCUUAUUCUUGCAUUUAUACCCUUAAAGGCAGGGAAAUUCUGUCUAUAAAUAUAUACACUGCAUAGCAGCACACCGUUUGUACUGAUAUUUGAGCUUUCAGAUUCAGCCACAGUAAAAUAGUAUUUAGACCCUGGUCAUUUAUUCCAAUGUAGCAGAUGAGUCAGAUGAAACCCAGCUGAGACCACAGCAACCAUGACAGCCCUGCAAACCCACUUCAUUGGCAUCGAAUAGAGAGGACAAAACAGAUGCCCUCUGACAACUGCCCUCCAGCACUGCAGAGUUGUGGCUGUUGUGCAAGGAAAUAGCCAUUCCCCAACACCAAGCCCACACAGACCUCACAGAGGCUGUACGCAUCCACGCAGCACAACAGAAAGCAGACCUGGAAAGAUGAGCUUACUCUUCGCCAGCUUUUAGUAGCUGCUGAACAAAAAGCACCAGGGUUUGCCAGAGCACAAAGCUAGACAAGACAGGACCAAAAGGAAACCUACGAUUCCAGCCACCUCCUGACUAGCUCUGCAUAACAGGAGUGCCAGACACAGGCUGACAGCUAGCGCGUGGCAGGACAGAAUUGCUCUUCAGAGCAUCCCAAAGGAUAGUUUCUUCACCUACAGUCACAAGGGUUACUUGCUGUAGGCAGCUCCUAUUUUCCAACACCUUCCUGCAGCUCAGCCCUGUGUAUGUCACAAUCCACAGAUGAGUUCUUUGGCAUGGAUUUAUAUAUUUCUGUGCAUUCUACCUACUGGUGUCUGGCUGCUUGUAGAGUAAUUACUUUGCCCUUCCCAGAGCACACUGUAACAUUAAACCUUAUUUUACUUGGCAGCUAGAGAUCACUUCUCAAUCAGCUGUGAGAAAAAGACCCCUCAACUGAUGCAAAUAAACAUGGUUUUAUUUUUAAUUAGUAAGUUAAAACAGCUUGUGUUCCAGGCUGUGCAGUACACAUCCAUCUCCAUAAAACCCCACGUGAAGGAGACCUUCUGGCCUCUCUGAUGCUCUAGGAGACACUUUG